AACGAACGCUGGCGGCAGGCCUAACACAUGCAAGUCGAGCGAGACCUUCGGGUCUAGCGGCGGACGGGUGAGUAACGCGUGGGAACGUGCCCUUUUCUGCGGAAUAGCCUCGGGAAACUGAGCGUAAUACCGCAUACGCCCUUUGGGGGAAAGAUUUAUCGGAAAAGGAUCGGCCCGCGUUGGAUUAGGUAGUUGGUGGGGUAAUGGCCUACCAAGCCUACGAUCCAUAGCUGGUUUGAGAGGAUGAUCAGCCACACUGGGACUGAGACACGGCCCAGACUCCUACGGGAGGCAGCAGUGGGGAAUCUUGGACAAUGGGGGCAACCCUGAUCUAGCCAUGCCGCGUGAGUGAUGAAGGCCUUAGGGUUGUAAAGCUCUUUCAGCUGGGAAGAUAAUGACGGUACCAGCAGAAGAAGCCCCGGCUAACUCCGUG
rnacentral:rRNA from 1 species